AUUCGAUUUCCGGUUGAUCCUGCCGGACCCGACUGCUAUUUGGGUGAGGAUAAGCCAUGCGAGUUGUAUGGGAUCCCUAAAGUUCCCAUAGCAAACUGCUCAGCAACACAUGAUCAACUUGCCCUAUGGAGAGCACUAACCUCGGGAAACUGAGGAUAAUGGCUCAUACUUGAUUAGGCUUGGAAAAGUUUUUCAAUGAAAGGCGUAAGAAAAAUGGUUCUUAUGCGCCAUAGGAUAGGAUCGUGCUCGAUUAUGGUAGUUGGUGAGGUAACGGCUCACCAAGCCGAUAAUCGAUAGGGGCCGUGAGAGCGGUUGCCCCGAGAUGGGUACUGAGACAGCGACCCAGGCCUUACGAGGCGCAGCAGGCGCGAGACCUCCGCAAUACACGCAAGUGUGACGGGGUUACCCAAAGUGUCCUUAUUGGACUGUGGCGGGUGAGUAAUGUUCCCCGCUAGAAAGGAGAGGGCAAGGCUGGUGCCAGCCGCCGCGGUAAAACCAGCUCUUCAAGUGGUCGGGAUAAUUAUUGGGCUUAAAGUGUCCGUAGCCGGUUUAGUAAGUUCCUGGUAAAACCGGGCAGCUUAACUGUCCGUAUGCUAGGAAUACUGCUAUGCUAGAGGGCGGGAGAGGUCUGAGGUACUACAGGGGUAGGGGUGAAAUCUUAUAAUCCUUGUAGGACCACCAGUGGCGAAAGCGUCAGACUGGAACGCGCCUGACGGUGAGGGACGAAAGCCAGGGGAGCGAACCGGAUUAGAUACCCGGGUAGUCCUGGCCGUAAACGAUGCAUACUAGGCAAUGGUGCGGCCAUGAGCCGCAUCAGUACCGUAGGGAAACCGUUAAGUGUGCCGCCUGGGAAGUACGGUCGCAAGGCUAAAACUUAAAGAAAUUGGCGGGGGAGCACCACAAGGGGUGAAGCCUGCGGUUCAAUUGGAUUCAACGCCGGAA
rnacentral:rRNA from 1 species